UACGUAGGGUGCAAGCGUUGUCCGGAAUUAUUGGGCGUAAAGAGCUCGUAGGCGGUUUGUCGCGUCUGCUGUGAAAACUCGGGGCUUAACUCCGGGCCUGCAGUGGGUACGGGCAGACUAGAGUGCGGUAGGGGAGACUGGAAUUCCUGGUGUAACGGUGAAAUGCGCAGAUAUCAGGAGGAACACCGGUGGCGAAGGCGGGUCUCUGGGCCGUAACUGACGCUGAGGAGCGAAAGCGUGGGGAGCGAACAGG
rnacentral:rRNA from 1 species